rnacentral:lncRNA from 1 species
GGGACUUGCAGAGAGAGAAGGACCACCAGAGGCUCAAGCAAGGAGCCAGGCCAGGGAAUGGAGACCCAAGGGCAGGGCUGGGGCAGGGGGCUCAGGACAGUGGACAGGGCUGGGGAGGGAAGGCAGGGGAUCCAGCAGGAAGGAGGCAGGCUCAAGGGCAAGGGCCACUGCCAGGUAUCAGGGUUGCUGGAACAGGACCAAGGGCCCAGGGAGAGCAUGAGGGGC